rnacentral:rRNA from 1 species
AUCAAUAAAGCGGAGGAAAAGAAACUAACAAGGAUUCCCCUAGUAACGGCGAGUGAAGCGGGAUGAGCUCAAAUUUAAAAUCUGGCGGCCUCAGGUCGUCCGAGUUGUAGUCUAGAGAAUCGUUUUCCGCGUUGGCCUGUGUACAAGUCCCUUGGAACAGGGCGUCAUAGAGGGUGAGAAUCCCGUCCUUGACACAGAUUACCAAUGCUUUGUGAUGCGAUCUCGAAGAGUCGAGUUGUUUGGGAAUGCAGCUCAAAAUGGGUGGUAAAUUCCAUCUAAAGCUAAAUAUUGGCGAGAGACCGAUAGCGAACAAGUACCGUGAGGGAAAGAUGAAAAGCACUUUGGAAAGAGAGUUAAACAGUACGUGAAAUUGUUAAAAGGGAAACGAUUGAAGUCAGUCAUGCUUUCCGAGACUCAGCCGAUUCUGUCGGUGUACUUCUCGGUUGGCAGGCCAGCAUCAGUUUCGAUCUGUGGAAAAGGUUGGAGGGAACGUG